GACGAACGCUGGCGGCGUGCUUAACACAUGCAAGUCGAACGAUGAAGCCUAGCUUGCUAGGUGGAUUAGUGGCGAACGGGUGAGUAAUACGUGAGUAACCUACCUUUAACUCUGGGAUAAGCCUGGGAAACUGGGUCUAAUACCGGAUACGACCGAUCUCCGCAUGGGGUGUUGGUGGAAAGCGUUAUGUAGUGGUUAUAGAUGGGCUCACGGCCUAUCAGCUUGUUGGUGAGGUAACGGCUCACCAAGGCGACGACGGGUAGCCGGCCUGAGAGGGUGACCGGCCACACUGGGACUGAGACACGGCCCAGACUCCUACGGGAGGCAGCAGUGGGGAAUAUUGCACAAUGGGCGCAAGCCUGAUGCAGCGACGCCGCGUGAGGGAUGACGGCCUUCGGGUUGUAAACCUCUGUUAGCAGGGAAGAAGAGAAAUUGACGGUACCUGCAGAGAAAGCGCCGGCUAACUACGUGCCAGCAGCCGCGGUAAUACGUAGGGCGCGAGCGUUGUCCGGAAUUAUUGGGCGUAAAGAGCUUGUGGGCGGUUUGUCGCGUCUGCUGUGAAAGGCCGGGGCUUAACCCCGUGUAUUGCAGUGGGUACGGGCAGACUAGAGUGCAGUAGGGGAGACUGGAAUUCCUGGUGUAGCGGUGGAAUGCGCAGAUAUCAGGAGGAACACCGAUGGCGAAGGCAGGUCUCUGGGCUGUAACUGACGCUGAGAAGCGAAAGCAUGGGGAGCGAACAGG
rnacentral:rRNA from 1 species